GUUGAUCCUGCCGGAGGUCACUGCUAUCGGGGUUCGAUUAAGCCAUGCGAGUCGAGAGGGUUCAGACCCUCGGCGGACUGCUCAGUAACACGUGGAUAAUCUGCCCUAUGGUGGAGGAUAACCCCGGGAAACUGGGGAUAAUACUCCAUAAGUCAGGAGUACUGGAAUGUCUCCUAACUGAAAGUUGCGGCGCCAUAGGAUGAAUCUGCGGCCGAUUAGGUAGUUGUUGGGGUAACGGCCCAACAAGCCCGUAAUCGGUACGGGUUGUGGGAGCAAGAGCCCGGAGAUGGAAUCUGAGACACGAUUCCAGGCCCUACGGGGCGCAGCAGGCGCGAAAACUUUACAAUGCAGGAAACUGUGAUAAGGGAACCCCGAGUGCCCGUACACGCGGGCUGUCCCGGUGUUUAAAACACAUCGGAAGAAAGGGCCGGGCAAGACCGGUGCCAGCCGCCGCGGUAAUACCGGCGGCUCGAGUGGUGACCACUUUUAUUGGGCUUAAAGCGUUCGUAGCUUGAUUUUUAAGUCUCUUGGGAAAUCUCACGGCUUAACUGUGAGGCGUCUAAGAGAUACUGGGAAUCUAGGGACCGGGAGAGGUAAGAGGUACUUCAGGGGUAGAAGUGAAAUUCUGUAAUCCUUGAGGGACCACCGAUGGCGAAGGCAUCUUACCAGAACGGCUUCGACAGUGAGGAACGAAAGCUGGGGGAGCGAACGGGAUUAGAUACCCCGGUAGUCCCAGCCGUAAACUAUGCGCGUUAGGUGUGCCUGUAACUACGAGUUACCGGGGUGCCGAAGUGAAAACGUGAAACGUGCCGCCUGGGAAGUACGGUCGCAAGGCUGAAACUUAAAGGAAUUGGCGGGGGAGCACCACAACGGGUGGAGCCUGCGGUUUAAUUGGACUCAACGCCGGGCAGCUCACCGGAUAGGACAGCGGAAUGAUAGCCGGGCUGAAGACCUUGCUUGACCAGCUGAGAGGAGGUGCAUGGCCGUCGUCAGUUCGUACUGUGAAGCAUCCUGUUUAGUCAGGCAACGAGCGAGACCCCU
rnacentral:rRNA from 1 species